rnacentral:siRNA from 1 species
UCUAAGUGCCACCGCAACAGAG